GGUAGGAACACACAGUUACACACCCGCUGCUAAGGUACUUGGGGCACCUUUAAAUCGGCGAGGAGAUCCCACAUUCUGAGGUUGACCUGGGCUAAAGAGAAAUGUCACUUGUCAAGACCUCAUACCUGACUCUUAACUACUUCAAACACUGAGUGCACUUUUUCUGCCCGAACUUACAUCACUCUCUACUAAUAAAGUAUUAACAGCUUAGAAUAAUUGUUGCUUCCUAAUCAGGACUGAGGAGGUGACCUGGGAGUUGAGAUGGUGAAGACACAAGAGCACAGAAGCAGGUGAGGAAAAAUCACUGCAGGCGUACGUAAAGAUGAAUCCAGUUCCUAACUCAAACAUGACACUAGUAAACUACGGUACUGCAAGAGAUUAAAAACGCAUCCUUUUUGAAAUCAGGCUUAACUGAUUAAGCCUAGGGUAUACCCUGGCACCUGAGGUGCCUGGGAUUCCUCGAUGGAAAGUCAUGAGUCCCUGUGAGGGAGGUAGGAGGUGACAACUUUCCAAGGAGACCGGUAGUUCCUAGGAUCCCCUAGAUGGGAACCCAAUCUCUAUUUCCAAAUGAGCCUUCCUGCAGGUAUACCAGACCUCCCACAGCUAAAGGAUGGCGUAUCCCGGGGCAGAGCAAGUUAGAAAGUCACCCAGUCUUCAUGGCUCCUGGAGCAGAGGCCCCUUUGCCCUCCUUCUUAAAAUUCGUGAACUACAUAACACUGGUGCAGGGUUGGAAUUGGUCUAGAACUUGAUCAUGAGAGGAAAAUAAGGUAACGGAAAUCCCAGGGACAAGGCUUUUUCCCAGACUCCGGCCGCCCUGGUGAGCAGAGUAGGGGGUGGAGAAGUGCUGCCUCCUUGUGGCCAUUUCCAUGAACAGCAGACUGGAACGCUAUCCUUCUGGGUACCUAAUGUGUGUAAGGCUUGAGGGGCUGUGAGGGAUGAAAACAUCAGCUAGGGCCAACUGGGGACAAGCCUGCGCCAAAGCGUGAAGAAGGGUAAAUGUGUGUUUUUCUUUUUAAAGCCCCUGAAAAGAUGCCCAGUAUCUCCAGUGCUUAGAGAAAGGCAGGUGAAAUCUACAAUGAAGUAUUCCUGGCACCUGUCAUCAAAGAGACGACACAGAUGGGGAGGGUGUGGAGAAAAGUGACUGAAGGAAGGUACCUGUGGAAAGCGGAGUGGCUCACAGGCAGUAUGCAGAGAAGUGACGAGGUCCUUAGGAAAGGAAAGGUGCCGCUCCCUAAAGCUCCAGCAGUCCCACCCCUGCUUGCGUGUGGGGAGAGGAAACCAUCGUUCGAAAACACACACAUACACGCUCCAUUGACCUUUGCCCAUCCACCUGCAAUGGGCAAGGCAUGGAAACUACUAAAAUGCCCGGCGACAGAAGAAAGGGUAAAGACGACGGUCCUCAUAUAAACAACGGACUGCUACUCAGACAGAAAAGCGAAUGACAGCACAGGCCUGACACCAGUGUGGACGGACCCGGACAGGAUCUUACCACCUAAAGUAGGUCAGACAGAGAGCCUGAGCAUAUACGGUACCACUUACAGGUGGACACUCUGAAAGAACGGAACUAACACACCGAGGAAAUGGAAACAGCCAGUUCAGGAAAGAAACUCUUCUAACACGGCUAAUGUGGAGGGUGGAAAGGGGGAUUAGGAGGUGGGAUUCGCUGGUAUUUAGUGAGGUGUGUGUAUGUGUGUAUAUAUAUGUAUGUUAUGUAUAUAUCUGUAUCUUAAAUAGACAGUGAGCGAGGGCCUACUGCAGUGCAGGGAUAACUACUCACUCAGAAAUGAAUAUCACCCAAAAUCCAAAGAUAAUAUGGUCCUUGUAUAUGUGAUACUGAGUCCAGUUACUAAUGAUCUCAACACGGCACUGUUAAUCAUACUCUAGGAGAUGAUAAAAAGUGAAUUACUUUAGAAAUACCUCCUCUUUUCCAUUCAGGAAUACACAAUUCGAGAUGGGGUCAUAUCCUGGAACCCAAAGUGGCUAUGACUCCUCAAAGAGAAGUCAUGAUUCCUCUAAGUGGGGAGAAAGUGACAGCUUUCCAUGGAGGCCACAGCAGACCUGAAGUGCCUGGUGAGCCCUGGAUGGGAUCCAAUUAGAUGAGCCUUCCUGCAGGUCCCUGAAAAGAUGCCUAGUAUCUCCAGUGCUUGAGAGAGAGGCAGGUGAAAUCUCAAAUGAAGUAUCUUCUGGCACCUGUCCUCAAAGAGAUGACACAGAAUAUCUGAUGGGGAGGGUGUGGAGCAAAGUGACUCUGAGGAAGGUAUUUGUGGAAAGCUGAGUGGCUCACAGGCAGUAUGCAGAGAAGUGACGAGGUCCUUAGGAAAGGAAAGGUGCCGCUCCCUAAAGCUCCGGCAGUCCCACUCCUGCUUGCAUGUGAGGAAAGAAAACCAAAGGCUCGUUUGGCCUUUGCCCAUCUACCUGCAACAGGCAAGGCAUGGAAACUAUGAAAAUGCCCGGCGACAGAAGAAAGGGUGAAGAAGAUGGGCCUCAUAUAAACAACGGACUGCUACUCAGACAGAAAAAAGCCAAGCACACAUGAUAUCACAUAUACGUGGACACCCAGAUAGCACUGAACUCACCAAAAAAAUGUCGAACUUGUUUUCAAAGGGGCAAGAUGGGGAGGGUGGAGAGGGAAACUAUGAGCUUGGCGUUCACAGCUCCACACUGAUAUACAUGUAUUUGUAUAUAUAUUUAAGAUAGAUGAUUUAGGAAACCCUACAGUGGAACACAGACAACUCUCUUCACUCUGCAAAUAACUGUGUCCCAAAGAAUCCAAGCAACAGUCAUUCCAUGUACAUUUGAACCUGAGUCCAAUUCCCAUUCAACUCAUACACGAUUCUGUAUAUUAAUCAUAAUCCAGGAGAAAAUAAAACUUGACUUCACUUUA